ensembl:lncRNA
GCCAAAACCAAGAAAACAGCCAAGAAAUGCCCGAAGUUGCAUAGUGGGCCUUUAAGCAACGACGGUUGAAGGGGCGGCUACAGCGUUCGAGUGACACUUUGCGCAAACUUUGCGCAUGUUUACAUUUCCUGCCAUUGUAGCCCAACUGUCUACUACGGGAGAGCGACUGGUUUGCCGUAUUCAAUACUACGUUACAUUUCAAGCAGAUAUGUCCUCCGUUGCCCAAGAAGAUGCUAGAACACAUGAACCUGGACUGGAGCAUGCUCACCAAAUAAAAAAAUGACAUUAAUUAAAUAAUAAUAUAAGCAAAUCAUUUUUAGAUGACUGGUGAAUAAAUAAAACAGAAUAUAAUGCACUGUA